rnacentral:rRNA from 1 species
GACGAACGCUGGCGGCGUGCCUAAUACAUGCAAGUCGAACGCAGUGGGGACGGGUGAGUAACACGUGGGUAACCUCCCAUCAGAGGGGAUAACACUUGGCAACAGGUGCUAAACCGAUAUUGGUGGAUGGACCCGCGGUGCAUUAGCUCGUUGGGGGGGUAACGGCUCACCAAGGCCACGAUGCAUAGCUGACCUGAGAGGGUGAUCGGCCACACUGGAACUGAGACACGGCCCAGACUCCUACGGGAGGCAGCAGUAGGGAAUCUUCGGCAAUGGACGAAAGUCUGACGGAGCAACGCCGCGUGAGUGAAGAAGGUUUUCGGAUCGUAAAACUCUGUUGUUGGAGAAGCGGUAGCUAACCAGAAAGCAACGGCUAACUACGUGCCAGCAGCCGCGGUAAUAC